UCUCCGUAGGUGAACCUGCGGAGGGAUCAUUAACACGUGCCACCAUACACGUAUACCAAACAAGCUGUGAACGUUCAACAUACCUCCCUUGGUAGAAGUGAUCGAGUGAUACUCAUCUGGGUGGAGUAGAGAAUUCUUGUUCUUUACUAUGACUCGCUCUAGGAAUUCUUUGAAAUUCCAAUCCGCUAUCAAGUGUAUGUGCCGCCACCUGGCAGUCUGCGAUCUCGCUGGGUUUUGCAUGCUUUCUACGCUUUUCGGAGUGUAGAACUGCAAUACUCUAGCGAUGAAAGCAGCGUUCUGCCGAAUUGUAUUAACCCAUUUUUUAAACCCCUUUAACAACAUACUAACAACUGAACCAUAUGCUUUUUUUCAUUCGGCGGAAAAGAUGGUUGCAAAAACCACCUUGAAAACCGACAUCGAAAAAACAUAUUGAUAUUACGUCAUGCUGAACAACUCUUAGCAAUGGAUAUCUUGGUUCUC
rnacentral:misc_RNA from 1 species